rnacentral:misc_RNA from 1 species
AACGCACAUUGCGCCUCCGGGUAUUCCUGGAGGCAUGCCUGUUCGAGCGUCGUUAAAGACCAUAAGGCUCUGCCUUGCGAUGAGCUUCUGGCAAAAUCUCUCCAGAGAGAAGCCAGUCGCUUCAAACUGAUUGGCGUCUGAUUGUUAGCCCCAAGCGCAGCAAAAUGUGUUGUGGGACUUUAGAAAAGACUGCCUGUACCUUGAAUCAUUUAUUGGUCGACCUCGGAUCAGGCAAGACUACCCGCUGAACUUAA